rnacentral:rRNA from 1 species
GACGAACGCUGGCGGCGUGCUUAACACAUGCAAGUCGAACGGAAAGGCCCUGCUUUUGUGGGGUGCUCGAGUGGCGAACGGGUGAGUAACACGUGAGUAACCUGCCCUUGACUUUGGGAUAACUUCAGGAAACUGGGGCUAAUACCGGAUAGGAGCUCCUGCUGCAUGGUGGGGGGUGGAAAGUUUCGGCGGUUGGGGAUGGACUCGCGGCUUAUCAGCUUGUUGGUGGGGUAGUGGCUUACCAAGGCUUUGACGGGUAGCCGGCCUGAGAGGGUGACCGGCCACAUUGGGACUGAGAUACGGCCCAGACUCCUACGGGAGGCAGCAGUGGGGAAUAUUGCCCAAUGGUCGGAAGCCUGAUGCAGCAACGCCGCGUGCGGGAUGACGGCCUUCGGGUUGUAAACCGCUUUCGCCUGUGACGAAGCGUGAGUGACGGUAAUGGGUAAAGAAGCACCGGCUAACUACGUG